GAGAUUUGUUGUCCCUAUAUCAUACUUGAAGCAUCCUUCUUUUGUAGAUCUACUCAAUAGAUCAGAAGAAGAAUUUGGAUUUUGCCACCCAAGGGGUGGCUUGACGAUUCCAUGCCGAGAGGAUGCUUUCAUAAAUCUCACUGCUAGGCUGCACACAUCAUGAAAAUAGAAAGAACAAAAAGAAAAUGUUAUUAAUCACAGUUUUGUCAUCUCUAACUUUAGGAAGUAGAGUAGGAUAAUACUGUACAGUUACUCAGUUGUUUGAGCAAUGAUAGUUAUAUUCUUCUCUUACAAAAACGUUUCUCUUCAGCUCAUGAAUUUCAAUUUUUAUCAAUUACUUUGUUUUUCUUUCACUGCUCGAGUCCUGAGGAUUCAUAAGAAAGUAAUAUUUAUAAGGUUGAUUUUUAAAAAUCAAAUGUUGAUCAAAGGAGGCUUAAUUUUUCAAUUCUGCAUCAAAUCGUUUGUCAAUGUCAAAUAGAUCCAUGAUCUAUUCACUUGGAAAUAAAAAUGAAAGUUCAUGAACUUAUUAGAUAAGAAAUCGAAAAUUUUUGGAGAUUUAUUAGAUAAUUUGUAACCUUUCUUUAGACUAACUAACCAAUUUUCAUGGACCAUAUUUGCCUAAAAAGGAAACAACGACUAAUGUCCAAAGUUACAAUACCCAUGAAAACAAGAUUGAAUUACAAUGAAAAAAGCAUUCUAAUUAUAAUAAAGAUCUUAGAUGAAAUAAUCAACAAAACGUGCUUGAAUUGCAAAUUUAAAGAUUAAACUUGUAAUUUACCAUAAGUCAACUAACUUAUUUAAGUUCGAGUCAAGAACCAAGUAAAAGUUGUUCAUAAAAGGUUUUUUUUUUUAAGAAGACAGCCUCUUUAUUAAUACUAAAAUAAUAAUAAUGAGACAAAAGCUCAUAGUACAAGAAAAGUAUACAAUGACCAUGUAACCAUGGAUCAGGUGCAACCUGAACAUCUUAAUUAGGUUGACACCCCAUAGCACCUUCAUCAUAUCCAACCAAGCUAAAACCCAUAACAAAGGAGUAAUAUCGGAAGGCAAAACAAAGAAGUAAAGUUCAUAAAAAGUAUUUUAAACUAAUUGAGUUACAAAUAAAGUACAUUAUUGUUAAUUUGUUUGCUGUUAUUUUGUUAACAUGAAUGUCAUUGUUAAUGUUGAUUUUAAUGAUUAUAUAUUCAACCAUGUUUCAUUUAAAUAUGUUGAACAGAAAAGCAGGUUUAGGUAAAGAAUGGUAUAAUUUGUGACACAUUAUACUUAAUUUGACUUAGAAAUAUUUUGUCAUAAAGUUAGGUCAGAAUAUGUUAUUCAUGAAAUACCUAAUUUAAAGAGUUACGCUCUCAUAUGUCAUGCAUGGUUUCUACUUACUAAACCGGGCUCUAAGAAACAAAAUUAAUUCGUGUUACUGAAAUAGGAUAAUUACCUUGUAAUCUUUUGGUGAAAAAGAUACAAGACUUUCCAUUGACGGAAAAAAAGAGAUUAAUGAACUAUAAGAAAAAAAUAAAUAAAUAACAGCGGACUUAGAAGCAUAAAAAACCCCAAAACAUGACACGAACAUAACAAAGAAAACAUAAAAGAAAAAAACAGCAACUUGAGAAGACUAUAAAUGUAUCCCAGCAACAAGAAAUGUCUUGAAUUGAAAACCCGUCAAAAGAUUUGGAGAAAGAACACCAAAAAGAAGCCUUUAAACAAGUUGCAUCAAAGGGAGCAUUAGAACUUGGUGAAUCAUGGAAAAUAAGCUGAUUUCUUUCCAUCCAGAGAUCAGAAGAAUCGCCUUGACUGUGUUAUCCAAAGCAAAUAAGCUUGUGAGUGUUCCACCUCGACCCGCUUAAGAGUUAUGAAACAUUCCUCUCCAAAGAGUGAGAAAACCUUGCUAUGAUAUUUUAAUUUGUAAUAAUUUGGCCUAUAAUAUUUGAUUUGUAAUAAACUAAGUCUAUGAACUUUCACAAUUGUAGUAGUCUAAUUCUUAACCUGAAAAUUUCCAAUAUAAGUGUCAUUUUUUAUUUUCUAACAACUUAACUUUUGUAGUUGGAAAACAUUUGGUCCCUAAUCUAUUUACUGGUUAAAAGAUUCCAUUAAACUUUUUUGUAAUAUUUUUCACAAUAGACAUUGAAUCAUUACAAAUUUUUAAGUUAAAAAGUAAUAUAAAGACGAUGAAUUAAAUUGUUGCAUAAUAUUAGAGUUGAUGGACUAUUUUUUACAAAAUUUAACAUAUAAAGACUAAAUAGUCGCAAACUAAAGUUCAUUAAAUUGUUAUUUUCUAAAACUAGAUGGACCAAAAAUAAAUUUAUAUCUCAUUCUCAUUUUUCCCUUCAAAAUUUCUUCACUCCGUAGUCAUAUAUAAAUUUUCUUAAGAAAAUAACUCAAGUCAAAAAACCCAUUUUGGUAUUCAAAAUGUAAACUCCACAUGUACUAUAUAGGACGUCACUUUUUCUAUAUAUAAAAUUCCUUAUUCAAGAGAUUACUAUGAAGAAAGCUAUCAUAUCAACUAUCAAGUCAAGAUGAGAAUCUAGUUUCAAAUUUCAUGCACUUUCUCAUCUUCAAAGUAGAAACUGCUGAACUAACCUAUUCAACUUGUAUUUAUAAAGUAAAUCUUAGUUCAAUGGUAAUUAAUAUAUAUUCCUUCCAUUAGAAACAACUUUUUAUUGAAUUAAAUGAAAAGAACCUAGAAAAUUGAUAAUAAAAACAGCAAAAAGUUUACCAGUAAUCAUAUAACCACAUACAAACAAGUGGUUGAUAAGGAUAAAACAACAUACACCACAAAACCAAUGUUGACUAUAAAUAAACAAUUUUGGAUCACAAAACAUUUCCUACUCUUUUAUUUUCUUCAAAUGCUACCAAAAAAUGUCCCAAAAUAGCAAAUGGCAGUUCCACCCAUUUGAAAAUCUCAAACUGAAGAAAAAGAGAGAAAAGUUCUCCCAUUAAACCCAAAUUAACUGAUCCUACAGCUAUAAUCUCACUAUCAAUUUAACACAGAGCUAACAUGCAACCGCAAGAACAUUUCAAAGGAAUUAAACAGAAUGUACUCUUAUUUUAGAAUUAGAAAGAACAAAUUUGAAACUGCAGCCAAUUCUUUGAAUUCAAAAUGAUGCAGAAAGGUAAAAAAAAAUGACAAAAUUGAUGGAUUUACCUCUUUUUUCCCCCAUUUUUCAGGUCUGGACUCGAUUUGAUUUGGUUUGGUUUUGUUCAGAAAGUGGCAGCAAACCCAGUUUAGGGCAGAUUGUUUGGGCUUCUUCGAUUGGAUUGAUCAUUGUUGCAGCAAUGCAUUAUCGGAUUCGG
rnacentral:lncRNA from 1 species